CACACCCUACGGGAGGCAGCAGUGGGGAAUAUUGCACAAUGGGGGAAACCCUGAUGCAGCAACGCCGCGUGAAGGAAGACGGUUUUCGGAUUGUAAACUUCUGUUCUUAGUGAAGAAUAAUGACGGUAGCUAAGGAGCAAGCCACGGCUAACUACGUGCCAGCAGCCGCGGUAAUACGUAGGUGGCAAGCGUUGUCCGAAAUUACUGGGUGUAAAGGGAGCGCAGGCGGGAAGCCAAGACAGCUGUGAAAACUAUGGG
rnacentral:rRNA from 1 species